rnacentral:lncRNA from 1 species
ACAGAACACAGAGCACAGAACAGGUUGUUUUCAACAUAGAGAUAAGACCACAAAGCUCAACAUCUUCCCAGAGCCAAGUCACCUGAUAACAUCCAUAAUCUGCCUUGACUGCUUCAUCCAACCAUAAAUAUUUGCUCCGACCCCUGUAUAUGACACACAUGCCAGACCCCUCUUCCAACGCCCUAUUAAGCGCCCUGCUUUUCUUUGUUCGGCACUGACAGCUAAUUGAUGCCCUCGGUCCACCUGCACCCAGAACAGAAGUAAAAAUUGGAGAGAAAAAAAUGUCCGCCUGAGGAGACCCACAAGUUCUGCGCGGGCAUCGAAGCCUGCCUGGAGGAAGGCGGUCCGAGGGAACUUUUGCCGGAGGCUGGACCUGUGAGGAGGGGCCGAAGAUGAAGCCCCAACAACAGCGCAUGGCCGACAAGGAGCUGAGCGACCUGCUGGACUUCAGUGCGGGGCUCUCCCACCUGUCAACAGUGGGGAAACCAGACCGACGACCCGGGGAGCAGUCAGCUCAGGGGAUCAGAACUCAGAAGGUGGUGAAACACUUCCACCUUUCUUUAGGAGGCCAGAAUUAACCUGAUUAUGUAAAACCUGAUGAACAGUGAACCAUAAAGGAAGGGCAAAGGAAAACUAUGGACCAAUUUACCUCAUGAACAGAUUGCAGAAAUCCUCAAAGAAAGAGCAAAUUAAAUUCCACUGUUCCUAAAAGGAAAAUCAUAAUCCAAACAAACUACCGCUAACAUCAUACUAAAUGGUGAAGGAAUGAAAGUUUUCUUCCAUGAACAAGAACAAAGCAAGAAUGUCUACUCUUAACCUCGCUGCAGUUCAGUAGUUUACUAGAAACUCCUGGUCAGCAUUAACAUGGCAACAAAAGGAAAUAAAAGAGGAGGAGACUGGGAAAGAAGAAAUAAAACUGUUCCCAUUGACAGACAACAUGAUUGUCCCAAAGAAUCUUCAAAAACCUAGAGUUUAGCAAGGUCACAGGAUAUGAGAUGGCCACCCAUCCCCACCCCGAUCCCAGUCUUAAUUCUCUAUACAUUUGGCCCUUCAUUUCUUCAGGUUCAUUGUCUGCAGAUUCAACCAACCAUGGAUUAAAAAUGACUCCAACAGAUAUCCAAGUCAUCUGUGACACGACCUCUCAGAACCACAAAGGCAUUUUGAAAGACUUCUUCAGCCAUCCAGGGCGCUAAUACCUAAUUCAUUUGCACCUUGAUGUCCAUACACCUGCUCCUACCUCAAAUUACCAAUGCAUCGCUAUCACUUCAAGUAUCUAUUUCUUAGAUAUCCCUUAUUUAUUGAUUGAUUGAUUGAUUGAUUGAUACCGGGAUCGAACUCAGGUCCUUGCUCUUGUGCAGCAGGUGGCAAAACCACUGAGCUAAAUCCCUGGCCCAGCUAUCCCUUAUUUAAACUGUUGCCUCAGUAACUUUAACUUUUUCUCCUCUUUGUCUUUUUGGAAUACAUUAUACAUCUAAUAUCUUACUGAAAUAUUUACAAUAUAGGACAUCAGUCAACCUGAAAUUAUGUCCGUAUAGAGAAUGUAUGUGAAUAAUAUAUUAAUAGCUGCUAAGCCUUUUGUAUUUUUCAUAAUUUGAGGAUGCUUUGGAAAAAGUCUGACUUUUUAAAUUUUUUUUGCCAUGUGAGAAUCUUCCACUGAUUACCAGGGAGAGUGACUAUACUUUGUCUAAAAUGAUAAGCCAGAUGUAGAAAAUUCCUCAAAUAAAACUGAGAUCCACCAUAACUUUGUCAACAAUUUAGUGCUGGAUUCAAAUUCUUCUUUUCAGCCAAAAUACACCCAUUAGGUACUCAUAGAAGAUAUGUGAAAUGCAUAAAGAGCAUCAAAGAAAUGCAGACAAGCACAGCCUAG